rnacentral:rRNA from 1 species
UACGAAGGGUGCAAGCGUUACUCGGAAUUACUGGGCGUAAAGCGUGUGUAGGUGGUUGUUUAAGUCUGUUGUGAAAGCCCUGGGCUCAACCUGGGAAUUGCAGUGGAUACUGGGCGACUAGAGUGUGGUAGAGGGUAGUGGAAUUCCCGGUGUAGCAGUGAAAUGCGUAGAGAUCGGGAGGAACAUCCAUGGCGAAAUCAGCUACCUGGACCAACACUGACACUGAGGCACGAAAGCGUGGGGAGCAAACAGG